rnacentral:tRNA from 1 species
UCCUGAGUGGCUCAGACAGGAAAGUGUCUGUCUGCAAUGCAGGAGACCUAGGUUCGAUCCCUGGCUUGGGAA